GAAUUGUAGAACAACUAUCUUCCACAGUUUAAGCCUUCAACAAGGCUUAGACCUUGUAGUGGUAGUAAACUUUGGCUCACACACUCAAGCCUUGGGCAAGGCUAAGGCAUCGACAAGAUCACAAAUCGGAUAUGCCCAAGUAAACCUCGCCUAAGGCUUAUGCCUCAGUAAAAUGGAUGAGCCCAACCAACCCUUGGGCACGGGCUAGUAGCCAAGGCAACAUGAGGGAGUCAAGAUUACACUCGACCAAGCCUUGCCCAAGGCUUAAGCCACGUGCAGCUACUAAUUUGAAAAAGGUGCACUCUUGAGAUUCAAAAGAGAGAAUCUCGCCACAACCAGGAUUGGCAUCUAAAAAUCAAGGGGAAGAUGAUUUUUGAAAGCAAGCUAUGUGUCAAAAUCAUUAGAAGAAAUCUAAAAGGAAACCCUAAUUCUUUUAGCUAUAAAAGGAAGUGGCCAACAUAAAACGAGGGGAUCUUUUUCCUGGUGCCGCACUCUAUAACUUCUGAAAGUUUUCUGCCUUCUUUUUUUCGUCUCUUCAAUAUUCAGAACCUUUUUUGUGUUGAGCCCACUGUGAGUGGCUGAUAACUUUCUUUUUUCCAAUUAACAA
rnacentral:lncRNA from 1 species